rnacentral:rRNA from 1 species
UACGUAGGGGGCAAGCGUUGUCCGGAAUGAUUGGGCGUAAAGCGUCCGCAGGUGGCAAUGUAAGUCUGCUGUCAAAGCGUCUGGCUCAACCAGAUAAAGGCAGUGGAAACUACAUAGCUAGAGUAAGGUAGGGGUAGAGGGAAUUCCUGGUGUAGCGGUGAAAUGCGUAGAGAUCAGGAAGAACACCGGUGGCGAAAGCGCUCUGCUGGACCUUAACUGACACUGAGGAACGAAAGCUAGGGGAGCGAAUGGG